rnacentral:tRNA from 1 species
CGGAGCGUGGCGCAGCCUGGUAGCGCACCUGCUUUGGGAGCAGGAUGUCGCAGGUUCAAAUCCUGUCGCUCCGACCA